UACGGAAGGGGCGAGCGUUAUUCGGAAUUAUUGGGCGUAAAGGGCGCGUAGGCGGCCCGGUAAGUCAAAGGUGAAAUCCCUCGGCUCAACUGAGGAACUGCCUUUGAAACUGUCGGGCUUGAGGCCGGGAGGGGGUAGCGGAAUUCCCAGUGUAGCGGUGAAAUGCGUAGAUAUCAGGAGGAACACCGGUGGCGAAGGCGGGUCUCUGGGCAGUAACUGACGCUGAGGAGCGAAAGCGUGGGGAGCGAACAGG
rnacentral:rRNA from 1 species